UGCAGUAUGAGCCUGAUUCUAAAACAUGGGUCAAGUUGGGCGGAUUGAAUUUUUACCCACAGUUUAGACCAUCUUGACCCUGCCCAUCUUAGCCCAAAUAUACGUUGGGCUGGAUUAGGCAAUGCUCCAUUUAUUACCUAACUCAUUUUGACCCGCUCAAAUUAAGCCUAACCCGCCCAUUUGCCACCCCUAGUUGAAAUCAACUAGAACUCUUCCACCAAGGAAGAGUUGCAUCAGAACUCUAGUUAUUUCUUCAUCUACUAACUCUAUAAAUUGGAGGAUGUUCUCACAUCAAAGUGGUUGCACAAAAAUGCAGAAGUUAAUCGUGAAUUGAGAGAAAGAUAGCAAGGCUUUUUGCAAGCAAUUCAUGUGUGAUUCAAGUGUGCAAACCUGAAGCGACAUAAACCGGAUUGAAGAAUCAUCUCCGUAAAGUGUGUUAUGUAUCUUUUAUCAUUUCUAGUUCAAUUGUAGUAGGUAUUUUAUAUUGUACCUUUUAGCUUUCAUAGAAGCAAUUGUUAUCGGUAAUUGAGUAUUCAAGUUAGAGUUUAACAUGAAGUUGUAGCGACAGUUAGAGGCUGGUUGCCACAGUGGGAUUAGAGUUAAUCCUUAGGUUUACAAAGAGUUUAGUAAAUGUUGUUUUUGCUAUGAUUUUAGUGAAAGUUUUGGAAAAUCCUACUGAGUAGUAGGUCGUGGUUUUUCCACGUUUUGAGCUAGGUGUUUUCCACGUAAAAUCUUUGUGUUCUUUAUUUUCUGUAUUU
rnacentral:lncRNA from 1 species